CUCCACUACUUUCCUACGGUUCAACCGUCUCUCCUCCGCUGCUCGCUUCUUCUCCUCGAUUGGCCGGACCAAGCUCUGGUUCUCGCCCAGGCCAAGCGCCGCGACGGUUCCUUAUCGCUCAAAGAAGACCUAGUCGCUUCUCCGGCUGAUCUUCAUUUUGAACCGCCACUGAAAAUUGUGGAGUAUCCGGACCCGAUAUUGAGAGCCUGAAACAAAAGAAUUGUCACGUUUGACGAUAAUUUGAAGAAAUUAGUCGAUGAGAUGUUCGACGUUAUGUAUAAGAGUGUGAACAAUUGUUGUUGGCUUCCUUUUUAACAGAACUGACGGUACAGGGCUCUCAGCACCCCAAGUAGGAAUGAAUGUACAACUUAUGGUGUUUAAUCCAGUUGGGGAGUGUGGUGAAGGAGAGGAAAUUGUUCUCAUUAAUCCAAGAGUUAAAAAGUAUUCAAAGAAAAAGGUGCUUUUUGAUGAAGGUUGCCUGUCCUUUCCUGGAAUCUAUGCCGAUUUUCAGCAAUGUUGUGCAGAGCCAAUCAAACCCCUCAUGAAGACCCUCUCCGGAGAUUGCAGAUGUGCCCUGGAUAUGCCUGCGCUAUCAAUAUCAUGUCAAUAUAAUGUUUAUAAAUCCCAAACAAAUCUCUUUAAAUUUCUUAUAUAACGAAUUCCAAUCAUCUCAAUUCUGUUUCA